UUAAUUGAAUGUUAGAAACGUAAGCGUUCGGAUACUUUCGUGUGCGAGUGUACAUAUAGUUAAAAAAAGAUUACGUGAACCGUGCACGACUGACACGGCAGUCAAAGUGUUAACGGGUCGUUGGGAUCGUGUUGACGAUCGAACGAGCGCCAGUCAUUUCUUUUUAACCGAAGUGGCUAGUUACACGCAUCGCGUACUUUGGCCGCUGCUUUGUUCCUUUGUUGCGCGCCCGAUACAGGAAAUAUCAUGUCCACCCUGACCUUACGUUCACGAUACCCCCGACCAGAUAGCCGUUGAAAAUUAUCCGAGAUCCUACAAAACCGCCGCGACGGCCAUUGUCUCCUCGUCAGUCCCGACGCGAGGAGGAUUCCGACGCCACUUACCGCCCGAAAUUCUACUUCAUUAUUCGCCGCUGUUGCAUCAUCCCGUUAGCCGCUGAAUCAUCCAUAACGCCGCCAAUUAGACGCAACGAAAUUACAGCCGGUUUAUGUGUUUUCCACUACGUAUUGUACAACAUGUAAUCGACAUUUUAAUUGCUAAUAGAGAGAUAGAACAGCGGAUUCGACAAAAUCAAAGGAACAUUUUCUCUCCUUUCUUCUUCGGCAAAAUAAAACGGAAUUCACGUUGGAGCGCGUGCUACGCAAAAAUCCGCGGCCCGACUGCGAAUAUUGCGAUCGAAGACGCCGAGAUCUGACCUACAAAACAGAGGCGCACAGACACAGCAGUUCAGAAGUUAUGCGAUGUUUUUAUUCGGCAACGUUUGCGUCACCGUCACCUUGUACAUAUUCCACAAUGCGAACGGUUUAUGUUUACAGCGUUUACGGGUGCACAGAAGGGAUGACGCACUUGCGCCGGUCUCUUCGAAUCUCUCCGAUGAUCGGUUCUCCACGCGCCGAAAAUCUGAUAAGCCCCUAAUGAAGCUCACCUUCGCGCCGUAAUUGCUACACCGACAACGGUACAAUACCAGCAGAACUGUUCGAUACUAGCAGCCUCCGCGAAGGUCACGACACCGCGUCUCCGUUCGAACGGCUGCCGAAUAAAUCGUCGGAGAGAUGCUUUCCCCGGGAACACGUAUACAGGGAAUUCGUUCGACAGCAGCGGCACGUCGUAAACAUCGUCGAAGCAUCGAAAAGUUUUUCCGUCAAUUUUUCGGUUCCGUCGCGGGUGGCGGCGGAUCGUCCGACAACAAGAAUCGCUGAUUGGUCUUCAUCUUCUGCACGUGGUAGUCCUGGCCGGACUCCCUCUGACGGCGAUACUCCAGCGAGUUCAUGUACUCGGACACCUUCGGCGAGAAAAUAGUUACAAGGUCAGGCGGUUGCCGUAUCGCGAGAACGCGGGGCUCGUUUCGCCGGAGUAAUUAAAGUUUCCUGUUCUAAACA